CUUAUCAAGAGUGGCUGAGGGACUAGGCCCAGUGAAGCCCGGCAACCCGCGAAGACUUCGGUCUUUUCGAAGGUGCUAAAUCCUACGUGAUCCUGUGAUCCGAAAGAUGAGG
rnacentral:ncRNA from 1 species